rnacentral:rRNA from 1 species
UCAGUUUCUAUCUAUAAAAGAUUUUUUCUAGUACGAAAGGACCGAAAAAAUAGAGCCCCUUAAUAAACAAAGCUCUCAUACUGCUGAAAACAAAUAAAGGCCCCCACAAAAUACACCUUAAGAACAAAGGACAA